rnacentral:rRNA from 1 species
GACGAACGCUGGCGGCGUGCUUAACACAUGCAAGUCGAGCGGUAAGGCCCUUUCGGGGGUACACGAGCGGCGAACGGGUGAGUAACACGUGGGUGACCUGCCCUCAGCUCUGGGAUAAGCCCGGGAAACUGGGUCUAAUACUGGAUAUGACUCCACGGUGCAUGUCGUGGGGUGGAAAGCCUUGUGCGGCUGAGGAUGGGCCCGCGGCCUAUCAGCUUGUUGGUGGGGUGANGGCCUACCAAGGCGACGACGGGUAGCCGGCCUGAGAGGGCGACCGGCCACACUGGGACUGAGACACGGCCCAGGACUCCUACGGGAGGCAGCAGUGGGGAAUCUUGCGCAAUGGGCGAAAGCCUGAC